UACGGGGGGGGCAAGCGUUGUUCGGAAUUACUGGGCGUAAAGGGCGCGUAGGCGGUUCGUUAAGUUAGAUGUGAAAACUCUGGGCUCAACCCAGAGCCUGCAUCUAAUACUGACGGGCUAGAGUUCUGGAGGGGGUAGCGGAAUUCCUGGUGUAGCGGUGAAAUGCGUAGAUAUCAGGAGGAACACCGGUGGCGAAGGCGGCUACCUGGACAGAAACUGACGCUGAGGCGCGAAAGCUAGGGGAGCGAACAGG
rnacentral:rRNA from 1 species